ACAGCAUAAAGAACCAACUUUUAUAGUGCACAUGUGCCCAGUUUAUAUAGGUGUUCUGUGGUAUACCACUCAGGAUCAUUGCGUCAACGACGCGCCGCUCUCAUAUUUUAUUAGCUUCUAUAGUUUUAUUCGCAAAUAACGACAAAGUCACAUGCCUUCGGCGCCCCGGAGCAUUUCCCGGAGCCUUGCAUGCGUCGCAGGACGAACUGGCAGUCUAGGCCACGGUGGUCUAGGCGGGGGCCACUACCUCGUUCGCGAUGGUUGUGGAGUCGUUCAAGAAAUGCGGAAUAUCAAACAGAUUGGACGCCACGGAGGACGAGAACGAUAAAAAGCUGUUGUGCUUGACCACUAUGGGCAUUAACUGAAGUAAUAAAUUUCCAUGUUCUGAAGCGUUGCAAGCAACUACACCGGCGAUUCACUGCACAAACAAGUGCAGGGCAUGUACAGCGGAGGAUGGUACGUGCUUGGGAUACGAAUUUCGUGACGACGUCGACGAAAUCCGCAAGCGCCUCAGGAACUUUAGUUAUAUGGUCUCCAGCUCCUGGUGGAUGACAUCUUGGAUGUUCUCCCUGAUGCAUAUUGUAAGCUUCUCCA